AUGGGAAGGUGUUUCACCGUUCUGUCACCAUUACAGUCACCAAAGUGGAAGUGUUGCCUAUUAGUUUUGUCUCACUUUUAUUGCAUAGUAAACUGUGUGUACAUUUGUAGGACUAAACUCCUGAACUCUGAAAUGGUUUAUGGCCUGAGCCCCUGGGGUUCUCCCAUCACAAUGACAUUUACUCAGUUUUGCCAGAACACACAUGUUUUUCUUUCUAAAUUUAGAUUUGCAGUCAGCCUGCUUUGUAAACAUGUGGAGAACGACAAAAGUAGAAGACACAAGGAUAUUGCAUGCUCAGUGCAUGUCAGCACAACAUCCACAGAGCUGAAGAAAGGUCGUGAGCCCGUUGUGUCAGACACAGCACAGACACUCAAACUGACAAAAUAAUGAGAAUCAGAUGUUUGUCUCUCCCUUAUUCUGCCUUAAUCGUACAGGAGAACCACGUGGAGGGCAGCUUAUUUUUAACAAGGGGGCCUUAAGAGUGAGCUACAUUAUCCUCGGCUGAAAUAGCUCAUGAAUCCUGCCUUUCCAAAAGUCCUCAUCAAGAAGGGAAGAAUUGCUCAAUAUUUAUGUUCACAUGAGCUCUUGCCAGCUUAUAAAAUGCAGUCCUAGGGAAAAAAAAAUAAAAGAAGCUGAACCAAAAAAAUAAUAAUCUGA
rnacentral:lncRNA from 1 species